rnacentral:rRNA from 1 species
AUGCACGCUGGCGGCGUGCCUAAUACAUGCACGUCGCGCGAACAGACGAGGAGCUUGCUCCUCUGACGUUAGCGGCGGACGGGUGAGUAACACGUGGAUAACCUACCUAUAAGACUGGGAUAACUUCGGGAAACCGGAGCUAAUACCGGAUAAUAUAUUGAACCGCAUGGUUCAAUAGUGAAAGACGGUUUUGCUGUCACUUAUAGAUGGAUCCGCGCCGCAUUAGCUAGUUGGUAAGGUAACGGCUUACCAAGGCGACGAUGCGUAGCCGACCUGAGAGGGGGAUCGGCCACACUGGAACUGAGACACGGUCCAGACUCCUACGGGAGGCAGCAGUAGGGAAUCUUCCGCAAUGGGCGAAAGCCUGACGGAGCAACGCCGCGUGAGUGAUGAAGGUCUUCGGAUCGUAAAACUCUGUUAUUAGGGAAGAACAAAUGUGUAAGUAACUAUGCACGUCUUGACGGUACCUAAUCAGAAAGCCACGGCUAACUACGUG